ACAUUUCUCAGUACGCCCAAGUUGAACAGCAUUUUAUGGAUCAGAAUUUUAGCAUUUAGCAUAAAGCUACAAAUCAGCAGAGUUGGAGCUGGGGAAGGAGAAGCCAUUUAACGUGGAGCCGUGGAGCAGAUGUUGAGCACUCCACUUGCAGGCUCACAAAGCCAGGACAUCUGUUAGAAAUAUGUGAGCAGAGGCACCAUCAAACCUCUUAGAUGCUGCAGUGAUCCUCUGCCCUUCCUACGUCCUCUUCCAAAUUACACUGAGGUGUAAGGGAAUAGUCCCAUCCCUCACCACCUCCACCAUUCCCAGUCCACGUUUUUCUGCUUCCAGGCUGGUGCUUCCACACAGUUGAUUCAGGAUCAUUGACCCAAGCAGGUUCUUUUUUUGUUUCAGGGUUUUCAGGACAAAAAGGAAGGGGGGGUGUGAGCUUUUUGUUGGCCUCUUCACAGAGCAGCAGAGAUUUCUCUUGGCAUCAGUUUCCCUCUCAGGAUCCCACUACAGGCUGGUGUGGCAGGGGAGUUUAAUGCAGAACAACCAGAAACAACACAUGGUGAAGCACUGACCCAUAGUGCAAUUAGCAGCCUUCCCCAGAAGCAUUUUUCAAUACCCCAGGGCACUCAGAAUUUGCUGACUGUUUGAUUUGUGCUGCCCCAAAUUCCUGACAUUGCUUAAGCAAACCACAGGACCAGGAAAUAAGUGAUCCUGUCUUCCGAUCCUUUUUUUAUAAGGCUACUGCCUUUGUUUUCUCAGAGAAAAUAAAAUCAAUUUCUUUCCCACCUCUGUCUUCCUGAUCAGAGGAACACCAGUUUAAAUCUCAGCUCCCAAGGGAGAGGGAUUUGUUAAUUUGACAAUACUAUAUUCAAACACUAAGAGUUCAACAAACACUUGCUCCAAGAUGAGCAUACGGAUUUUGUUUGAUUUACAAUGAUUCAAUUAGCAGCCGUCUAAGGAAUUCUGAAAUUUUUCUGGGUAUGAAAACACUGGCUUACAGAGGUUUGUUGUUCUUAAUCCAGAUGUGACCCUGGCAAGCGGAGAUGUGCAAAAAAAAAAACUCCCCCACACCUAGUCCAGCCAAGGUGAAGGGCACUGCUCACCCUGCACUGGGCUGGACGACAGCCUGCAUCCAUCACCUGAGAGAAGAUAAAUGCUGCUGUCACCCCAGCUCCUGAGCUCCAUCCAUCACUGCUCAACCAGCUGAGUCCCAGCAUGAUUUGCCAUUUGCCUCACUAAGCUGCAGCUCCUGUCCAAAGAGCACACAGGCACCAUGCCCUGUGCAGGCAUUUAGUGAGCACAGCCAGGGCUUGACUCAGUCACUGCAGAGCAACUUUGCAGAUUAAAGCAGAAUUCAGUGUAUGAGAGCAGGUCCUAUGCUUUGCAUGCACAACUGUGGGGUGCAAAGAAAGAUUUGGUACCAGCCUCAGCCUGUCGCCAUUGAGGCAGGAUGGGAACAAAGAGACUCCAGUUCAGAAGACGAGAAGAGAACUAAACUCAACUGAUUUAUUUCAAAUACACCACUCUUUUUAUAGAGAACAUAGUGCAGACCAAUUUCAUUGAUCUUAAAGUAAAAACAUCUCACACCAUUGGUGCGCAGUGAAUGGCACGCGGUGGCAGAACAUAUCUAUAAACAAUGCGAA